UGAUAAUCAUGUCAUAUAACACCUGAGACUGUGGUCGAAGAAAUUAGAAACCUUUUAGUAGAAGGAUCAGACACUAAAAGGGACGUCUCAAACUCAGCUAACUGGUUUAUUUCUCGACUAUCCUAUAUCAUGAUUGACUUGCCCACUGGCGCCACCCUGGCCUCGCUGUUUUCAACGGUUCUCAGGUUGCCGGAGCGGCGUGUUUGAACUGUUUGAACCACAGGUUUGAACCACAGGCACCACAGGUUUGAACUGUUUCAACGGGAGUCAUGGCAAAACGGACGGAGUAGCACUGCGUGGCCUCGCAAUCCCAGCGACCCGACGACCCGACGAGCUCGCAAAGCGGUGCUCGGAAGACGACCCUCCCAAAGCCGACGACGCGCACUCACCUCUGUGGACAGCGAAGAAACAUCGUCGCACUGUGACAACGGCGACUAGUACACGGCAUUUAUUUUUUGUUGGCGUUCGUUUCAUAAAACCCGUCUAUAAGGAGCUUGUGACCACCCUCAAAGGCUUGACGAGCUAUGUGCUCGUAUUCAAGUUGGUGCCACACGGUGGGCCUUUCGGGCAUGCCAGGGAGGAUGAGAGGCUGUCCCUGAACCGCCUACUAGUACAAAAAGGUGUUGCCCUCGGCGUUACCAUCAUGAAUGUCGACCGACCACCUGUUCCUCAACCGAGGCAACAUUGUCAACCUCGACAAGCUGGCUACCGACCAGUACAACGUGUGCCGUGUCCGCGGCAUCCAGCGCCUUGCAUUUGCGCUCGGCAAGGCACUCGCAAAACUUUAUGUCCGGAAUUCCUCAUGACCUCGACUUUAACUAAGCUCCCCUUCGUUCACGUCUUCGGUCUCCGCUGAAGAUAAGCGCCACACAGCAGAAUGCGGAGAGAAAAGCCAGCAGGCGUCACAAAGGGGAGCUGCUUUUUCUAAGGCGCUAGAUAGCUUACUCGCCCACGGUACGACUUGCAGUGGCUGAAGUUAAUAGAAAAAAAAAUAAUAAUAAUAAAAGGUAUGAACGGCUCUAAAGUCUGGACACUCGUUACAUUGGGUUUUCAAGCCGACGUCAUAAGCCAUUAUUUGUGUACAAAGCGGCUUCAUCUUGAGGUGGCAGAAGAAAUUUUAGGG
rnacentral:lncRNA from 1 species